GAUGAACGCUGGCGGCGUGCCUAACACAUGCAAGUCGAGCGACCGGACGAGACGCUUGCUUCUGUGAUGUUAGCGACGGACGGGUGAGUAACACGUGGCUAACCUACCUAUAAGACACGGAUCACUUCGACAAACCGUAGCUAAUACCGGACAAUCUUUUGAACCGCUCGGUUCAAAAGUGAAAGACGGUCUUGCUGUUCCUUAUAGAUGGACCCGCGCUGCAUUAGCUAGUUGGUAAGGUAACGGCUUACCAAGGCAACGAUGGGUAGCCGACCUGAGAGGGUGAUCAGCCACACUGGAACUGAGACACGGUCCAGACUCCUACGGGAGGCAGCAGUGGGGAAUCUUGCGCAAUGGGCGAAAGCCUGACGGAGCAACGCCGCGUGGGUGAUGAAGGUCUUCGGAUCGUAAAACUCUGUUAGGAGGGAAGAACAUAUGUGGAAGUAACUGUGCACAGCUUGACGGUACCUAAACAGGAAGCCCCGGCUAACUACGUG
rnacentral:rRNA from 1 species